CCAAGGGUUGCAGCAGAGAGAGCACAAGAUGUGUUAAACUUAGAACACAAUGUGCAAGUUCCGGGUGGGGCUGUUGGAGGGGCAUCUUUCUUUCUUUCCGGCGAAAAUGAUUCCUUUCCAAACAAGGAAGUGGCUCUUCCUCGCUGCCCAGCUAGUGCCCUUGUAUUUGUUCAGCUGCUGACUUGAAGAGGACGUCUGCAUUCCUGGAGAUGUCAGUGAAUCUGAAAGUCUUCACCCUAGGGACCAUUGGCUACCUGGGAUCACAUCCCAGAUAAACUACUGACACCUGAGUCUUCAUCGCAGGCUCUGUUAGGCCAAGGCACGUGGAAACCAGCUCCUUAAAAUUGUGACGGUCAUGACGACGGGAAUGUAGGACACUCAGCGUUUUGUCACAUAGAGAGUCAAAAGCCCUGGAAGUGUCCAAGUCAACAAAUGCCGUGAUGAGUUUCAACUGUAGGGAACUUCCUGAAUUCAGCUCUGGCCACUGGCGAAGGCCUUGAAGUUAACUCUUCGGAAGGCUGAGCUGAGAAGUGUUAACAUUUGCUUCAGGAACUCUAGCAGGCCAUGUCUUCCAAACCCCUCUCAUCUACAGGUGAGCAAACAAGUCCCUGUGGAGUUACUUGGCUAGUAGAUGCUCACAGUGACCUAACUCAGAAUAAAACUCACUUCUGAGGACUCCCUUUGGCUUUUCUUUCUGUACCACUACCAUCUCUUGUCCAUCACGUCGUCAGAGAUGCACCAGGGACAUCUUUUGGUCAAGGACAAAUCUUUUUGUGAACACUUGCUUCCUCAUUUAGCUCUUUCACAAGUCUUAUUUUUCAUUUGUCAGAUUAAAAAAAAAUCAGAACAGCUCAAUGCUUUAAAAUAAUGAAGCCACAAAGAAGUUCUAUUUAACCUCAAUGCCAUGAAAGCAUGAAAAACUACAUGUUGACAUUAAUGGUAGAUUUUCACUCUAAGGAAAAAUGUAGUUCCUCUAAUUGACUCGAUGGAAUCUAUGCAUUCUGAUUUUUUUUUUUUAGUAAAAUGGCCAAUCUGGUGAGGAAGGAAUGUUAGAGUGAAAAGAGAAGCUACAGAAAAAAGAGAGGGAAAAAAAAUCAGAGCAUAAAUAUAUCAAAACUCUCCUCACUAAGACACUAGAAAGAGCUCACAGAGAAUUCAAGAAAAUUAUAUUUUUGGCACCCAUCUGAACCUCAAAACUAUUUAUUUGUAUUUGUUUAUUUAAAUGAGGGCUCUUCAAAAAGCUUGUGGAAAGUGUGUAUUAUGAAAAGACUGAGCAUGGAUGCCAAGAUUAUUUUUGCACCAAGAUCAACCAAUCUUUUAAUCCCAUUUUCCUCGCAUACUUUUUGAGUCACCUCGUGUUUCCUGUUACUUCCCCUGAGAGGAGUUGAAGGAACAAUGCCCUUCAGAUAAGAUUAUACAUACACAGUAUUUAUUGAUCCUUUAUCAUUAGGCAAUAAUUACAUCCACAUUAACCCAUUGAACUUGUUUAUCAAAAUAUCUAUAGGAGACAAUGAUUCUUCCUCCAUUUAUAAUUGGUCAAAUGACACCCACUUUCCUAAGAUAUGUCCACCUGGAACCUAAAAUUGUAAGCUCACUUGGAAAAAGUCUUUGCACAUGCAAUUAAGACAGGGUCUUGAGAUCAUCCUGGAUUAUCUGGGUGGGCUUCAAGGCCAACGGGAAGGGUCCUCACAGGAAGAGAAGUCUCAGAGGUGAAGAUCAGGGGACAACAGAGGCAGAGAUGGGAGUGCUGCAUCUAGAAGCCAAGGAGUGCCAAGGAUCGUCCGUGGCCCCGGAGGCCAGGAGAGAGGCGCUGCCCACCCCCAGCCGGAGUGCCACGGAUUGCCUGAGGCACUGCCCACCCCCAGAGCCUCCAGAAGGAGCCCCCGUGCACACCUUGGUUUAGUGCUCACCCCCGGACCUGAGAGAGAAUAGACUCCUGCUGUUUUAAGCCCCCAGUUUGUGGCAGUUUUUGAGAGCAGUCCUAGGAAAUGCACACGUUAUCUGAUAAAUUUAGUCAUCGCCAUCCAGAAAGCAUAAGUAACUCAGCUAAGUCAUACAAACCAAAGUGCCAGAGCUGAGAUUAAAAUCCACAGAUUAGCUGAUCCUAACACCAGAUGAAGAUUUUUUUAAAAAGCAUAGAAUGCAUGAAGAAUUGCAUGAGAAGCCCUUCCACAAAAGCUAAUAGUAGCUCACAGGAUGCAGGGGCUUGGGGUGACGUUCUUCUUUUACAAUAUUCUUGAAACUGCCCACAUUUUAGAAAAUGGUCCAUAUUGGCUACCUACUUCGCAGAAGAAUUGGGCAAUUUUGUUGAGGGACAGUGCAUCCUAACAGAGUGUUAACUGAAACAGGCAGCCCGGCUCCGCCAUUGUGGGCAUCUGGGGAGCGAACUAGCGGAUGGGAGCUCCCUCGCACUCUCUGACUCUCACGUAAAUAAAUAUUUAAAGAUACAUGCAAGUUCAAAGAUUCAUCUUUGACUUCUACAUCCACAUCUCUCAGGGGAGCCUCGCUCAUUAAUUACGUCAUUAACUCAACAAGUGUUUACUGACUUUGCCAGCUCUGCCGCUGCUGAAGAUGGAAGGGCGAUCCGUCGCAUUCCCAUCAGGAAACAGGACAAACUUGAGUUUUUCAGAGAGUUUGGGCAGCAUUUAGGCGGAGCAGAAAGGGGAGUGCAGCUCCAGGAGCCGGCAACCUGGGGGCUUUUCCCACCUCUAGGCCAGAGGGAGAGGAGCAGAGAGCACUGUAGAGAGGCCUCCUUCCAAGAGCUGUGAGCUGCGUGGAGGACGUGCGGGGCUGGGUGGGGCUGUCCUGAGCCUUUGCAGGCGGUUUGGAAGCAGCCCUGGCUGGUAGCCCCACCACCUCCCAAUGUGACAGCUGGUCACCGUGGCUUCAGACAUGGACCAGUGUCCCCUAGGGGACGUAGAGCCUACAUUGUAUUAGAGGCCACGAGUAAUGUAGAGUUGAUGCCUAUGAGAUGACGUAUAUGUUUAUACAAAUGAUGACGUCAUUUCCUGUAGCUGUGCCCCCAGUGGAGUACCACCGGCCUGGAGGUGAAGCCGCAGUGUAGGGACUCCCCAAGGAGGUGGAAUCCUAGUCCUCUACUUGUUUUCCCAAGAGGCAGGUGGUGCACUUGA